GAUGUUUUAUGGGUCAGGAUAGAAACAAUUCAAUUUUGAGUGGAUCCAGACCAGCCGGACCAGUAGGUCCAGGAUAUUUUUUUUACACUUCCUUUAAAACUGUUUCUAUUGCAACAGUGGCUCAUUGUUGUGUUAGAUCUUUAGCUGAUGAACCGAGCAGCUACGUGUUCCUGGGACCGUUAAGACUGUGCCACGCUGGCAGAGCGAGCGAGGCGAAUACGGUCGACUCCAACUUACACAGCAGAGUGUUUCCCUCCACUUACUGAGGAAUUGAAAACUGCAAGUGAUCACUGUCUGAGAAAAUGAACAAAAUCAGCCUCUUUGCAGACAUCGGCUCCGUCCGUCUCAAGAGCUUAACAACUAGGACAUGGUGCUACCGCUGGAGGAAGGUUCAUCUUCUUACAGGAUGGUGAGGAGGAAGGCAGUUGAAUUCAAAUGUGGCAGAAAGAACCUGGUAGAUGACCCCUAUCCUGGAGAGUUGGUCACCAUCACUGCUCCAAUAACGCUGGACGGAAAACUGACUCCUUCUAUCUCACGCCAUGAACUUAUUGUAUUAUUUAUAAUUGACUAACUGCAGGUUAAAGAUAAAGACAGGUUCUCAUUUACCUUGAGCAGGAGCUCCACCACUUCGGUGUGGACCAGACCGUGGACUGGUUCUCCGUUGACAUGAGUAAUGAGGUCUCCAGCUUUAAGUCCUGCUUUAUGUGCAGGUCCAGCGUCCUCGACAUUCUGAUCGACAGAGACAAGAGACAUUUAUUAGGACGGGUUUGUCCCUUUAGUUUCGUUUAGAAGAUGGAAAACAAGAUAUACAGUUAAGUUCAGCUCUGAUCUGUUUCAUAUUCCCGCCGACACAUUACAAACAAACCGAGUUAAGGAAACAUCAAACCAUAUAGACUUACAAGUGAUUCACAGAGUUCUGUUGACUGACAAAUUUAAUUGUUGGUGUCUCGCAGCCUAUAAUUGAAUGUAAUGCGUUUCUUAAUCCUCUCUGGUGUAAAAAGGAUUAUUAAUUGAGACUGAACUGGACAUCACAUAUCACAUAUACACUGUGACCUGGUACAUGGUUUAACUGCCCCUUACAGUUUACUAGACUAUUAACGGUACAGGUUAAAGUGGGCCUUACCCAGACCAUGUGAUAGACAGUGUAGACGUCACCGUCACAGGCAUACACCCGGAUUGCCCUCAGUGUGAAGCCAAACUUCUUCCCGGAGCUGUGGAUGAUGAUGGGUUGCCGUGGGUUGGUGGUACAGAGGGAGGAGUCUCGGCUUGGAGAGGAGUCUCGUGAGGACAGGUCUGAUGAGAGGGAGUAAGGGGACAGGGGGCUGGCCAGCGGAGACACCCCGAGGAUUUCUGGAAGAAUAAGAGAUGAUCAGCGCCUGAGCAGGUUCUUUUAUUUAAUCAAUGCCCUGGAGUCAGCAUUGAGGUGCUGCUAUAAAGCUCAUGAGCCGGGUUCAUUCUACUCCUGCGGUGGGUGACACUAAUGGGAUUUUCUCUCUCCCAUCGAGGCUUCUUGCUCCUACCCUGCCUGUUUACUCCCCUUGUCAGCAGCUUGUUCUCUGCAAAUAGCUCACAGCCACUCUGUAAAAUGGAACUCACAGCAGGAAUUCAUGUUGGGUCAAUUUCACACAGAUCUGUAGUUUCACUUCAUCUCUUUCAUCUCCCUGUUGCUCUUAUUGUAAUUCUCUAAUCUUGAUUAC